rnacentral:rRNA from 1 species
AGGACGAACGCUGGCGGCGUGCUUAACACAUGCAAGUCGAACGAUGAAGCCCAGCUUGCUGGGUGGAUUAGUGGCGAACGGGUGAGUAACACGUGAGUAACCUGCCCUUGACUCUGGGAUAAGCACUGGAAACGGUGUCUAAUACCGGAUAUUUCAGCUGGCCGCAUGGUCUGGUUGUGGAAAGAAUUUUGGUCAAGGAUGGACUCGCGGCCUAUCAGGUAGUUGGUGAGGUAAUGGCUCACCAAGCCUACGACGGGUAGCCGGCCUGAGAGGGUGACCGGCCACACUGGGACUGAGACACGGCCCAGACUCCUACGGGAGGCAGCAGUGGGGAAUAUUGCACAAUGGGCGAAAGCCUGAUGCAGCAACGCCGCGUGAGGGACGACGGCCUUCGGGUUGUAAACCUCUUUUAGUAGGGAAGAAGCGAAAGUGACGGUACCUGCAGAAAAAGCACCGGCUAACUACGUGCCAGCCGCCGC